AUUGAACGCUGGCGGUAGGCCUAACACAUGCAAGUCGAACGCGAAAGUCCUUCGGGAUGAGUAGAGUGGCGGACGGGUGAGUAACGCGUAGGAAUCUAUCCUGUAGUGGGGGAUAACGUUUCGAAAGGAACGCUAAUACCGCAUACGCCCCACGGGGGAAAGCGGGGGAGUCUUCGGACCUCGUGCUAUAGGAGGAGCCUGCGUCGGAUUAGCUAGUUGGUGAGGUAAAGGCUCACCAAGGCGACGAUCCGUAGCUGGUCUGAGAGGAUGAUCAGCCACACCGGAACUGAGACACGGUCCGGACUCCUACGGGAGGCAGCAGUGGGGAAUAUUGCGCAAUGGGCGAAAGCCUGACGCAGCCAUACCGCGUGUGUGAAGAAGG
rnacentral:rRNA from 1 species